rnacentral:rRNA from 1 species
GAUGAACGCUAGCGGCAGGCUUAAUACAUGCAAGUCGAGGGACAGCACAGGUAGCAAUACUGGGUGGUAACCGGCAAACGGGUGCGGAACACGUACACAACCUUCCUUUAAGUGGGGGAUAGCCCCGAGAAAUUUGGAUUAAUACCCCGUAAUAUAGUUGAAUGGCAUCAUUUGAUUAUUAUAGCUACGGCGCUUAAUGAUGGGUGUGCGGCUGAUUAGAUAGUUGGCGGGGUAACGGCCCACCAAGUCUACGAUCAGUAGCUGAUGUGAGAGCAUGAUCAGCCACACGGGCACUGAGACACGGGCCCGACUCCUACGGGAGGCAGCAGUAAGGAAUAUUGGUCAAUGGACGCAAGUCUGAACCAGCCAUGCCGCGUGAAGGAUUAAGGUCCUCUGGAUUGUAAACUUCUUUUAUUUGGGACGAAAAAGGGCCUUUCUAGGUCAACUGACGGUACCAGAUGAAUAAGCACCGGCUAACUCCGUGCCAGCAGCAGCCGCCGCCG